AUUAGAGGUGGGCACUGAUAUGAUAUUUUCUUUAUCUUCUUUUUGGAGCUUGUGUUUUGAAUAUUACAACUUAUCAUUUUGCUUACCUAUAUAUUUUCAUGAAGAAGAGCAGCAGGCUGAGGUCUCAGUCAGACCUGCCACACCAGUGGAAGUGGUUUUCAGUGGCUCUGGUGUGUCCCCCCUGGUUGACCUAGGCUACCUGGAACAGUUCCGUAGGCCAAUCUUAAAUAACCUGGGGGUUAAGGUGGACACUGACCUCAAAUUUGACACCCAGGUAAAAGCUGUGGUGAAGUCCAGCUUCUUCCAGCUAAGGCAGCUGGCCAAAAUUAAACCAAUGCUUCAGAGACAGCAUCUUGAAAUAGUAAUCCAUGCGUUUGUGACCACCCGGCUGGACUACUGUAAUGCACUUUACAUGGGGAUUAGUGAGGCCUCCAUUGCCCGCCUCCAAUUAGUUCAAAAUGCCGCAGCUCGUCUCUUGACUAACACUAGAAAGUACGACCACAUUACACCUAUUCUGGCUUCAUUGCACUGGCUACCUGUACGUUUUAGGAUUCAUUUUAAAAUACUUUUAUUUGCGUUUAAAGCCUUAAAUGGCCUUGCCCCACCAUACCUCUCCGAGCUGCUAAUACCCUACACUCCUAGCCGUUCUCUUAGGUCAGCUGACCAGCUGUUUUUGGCCACACCCCGUACCAGGCUAAAACACAGAGGAGAACGUGCCUUUGCGGUAGCAGCCCCAAAAUUGUGGAACACUUUGCCACUCCAUAUUAGACAAACUACAUCCCUGUGUCUCUUUAAAACCUUGGUAAAACGCACCUUUUUUAUUUGGCCUUUGGACACUAGAUGGCGUGUUGAUGUGAUGUAGAAGUGUUGGGUGGGUCAUGUGUUUUUACUUAUUUUUUACUUAUUUUAUCUCUUUUUAUCUCUUAUUUUUUUUCCUCUUGUGCAGCACUUUGGAAACCUUUGUGUUUGUUUAAACUGUGCUAUAUAAAUAAAGUGGAUUGGAUUGGAUUGGAUUGGGUAUGCUCUUUCACAGUAUCGGUCACAUUAAAGGGCUACAGAACAUUUUUUUUUUCUUUCUUAAUAAUCACUUAAUAAUUCACU
rnacentral:lncRNA from 1 species